rnacentral:rRNA from 1 species
UACGGGGGGGGCAAGCGUUGUUCGGAAUUACUGGGCGUAAAGGGCUCGUAGGUGGCCAACUAAGUCACACGUGAAAUCCCUCGGCUUAACCGGGGAACUGCGUGUGAUACUGGAUGGCUUGAGUUUGGGAGAGGGAUGCGGAAUUCCAGGUGUAGCGGUGAAAUGCGUAGAUAUCUGGAGGAACACCGGUGGCGAAGGCGGGUCUCUGGGCCGAUACUGACGCUGAGGAGCGAAAGCGUGGGGAGCGAACAGG